GUGCUUAACACAUGCAAGUCGAACGGAAAGGUUCUUUCGGGAACACUCGAGUGGCGAACGGGUGAGUAACACGUGGGUGAUCUGCCCUGCACUUCGGGAUAAGCUUGGGAAACUGGGUCUAAUACCGGAUAGGACCACAUGCUGCAUGGUGUGUGGUGGAAAGCUUUUUUGCGGUGUGGGAUGGGCCCGCGGCCUAUCAGCUUGUUGGUGGGGUGAUGGCCUACCAAGGCGACGACGGGUAGCCGGCCUGAGAGGGUGUCCGGCCACACUGGGACUGAGAUACGGCCCAGACUCCUACGGGAGGCAGCAGUGGGGAAUAUUGCACAAUGGGCGCAAGCCUGAUGCAGCGACGCCGCGUGGGGGAUGACGGCCUUCGGGUUGUAAACCUCUUUCACCAUCGACGAAGCUUCAGCGUGUUGUUGGGGUGACGGUAGGUGGAGAAGAAGCACCGGCCAACUACGUGCCAGCAGCCGCGGUAAUACGUAGGGUGCGAGCGUUGUCCGGAAUUACUGGGCGUAAAGAGCUCGUAGGUGGUUUGUCGCGUUGUUCGUGAAAUC
rnacentral:rRNA from 1 species